rnacentral:tRNA from 4 species
GGGAGAGAUGGCUGAGUGGUUGAUAGCUCCGGUCUUGAAAACCGGUAUAGUCUGAACAAAAAACUAUCGGGGGUUCGAAUCCCUCUCUCUCCUU